GCAAAGCUGAGAGGUUUUUUCUUCAACAUAAUGAAUUUGUCUUUGGUCCCACGUUACUGCCUCCAUCGACUUCUCCUUUUCCCAUAGAGGCUUGAGCAAAUCCUUGCAAUAUCUUCAUCAUCUUUUUGUUGAUUUUAGUUGAGCAUAAGAGGAUUUGGUAGGGAGACCAACAGGAGUUGUUACUGGUGCAAUUAAAAAUCCUAGGAUCCUCCAUCUUGUUCCAAAAUAGAGUCAGCGGUCAUUAAAGCAAUUGUUAGAAAACUAAUAUUUUAAUAUCCUUAACUCUUUGAGACUUUCCAUUCCAAAGUAGCUCGCCUGCAAAUGCAAAAAGUUACAAAAGAAUAAAAUCUACAAC